rnacentral:lncRNA from 1 species
UGAAUUGAUUUGGGAUAUUCCCUUCUUCUCUCUGUGUUUUCUUCUUCCUUUCUCUUUAUCGAUCUUGAAUGGUUGAUUACCAAAUUGUUUCGUAACAUCUUUCUUCAUUUAAAGUCUUUGAUACCCACAACCUCUCAUCUUUCUUGUUACUAUUAUUAUUUUCUUGCAAACCCUUUUCGGAAAUUGAGAUCUGAUGAGUAAAAAGAUGAAAUUGGAUUAUGAGGAUGCUAAGGCAAGAUUUAAGCAUCAAACCCUUUUUCAAGAUUACAUGGAGUUGCAACAGGUGGGGCCUGCGUAGGACCGACAGUUUUCCUCUCACAAGGGGGGGUAUAAUCAGGAAGAGGGGGGGGUGUGUAUAGAAUUAGCCUUUGACAAUAGAACAUGAGAUAUAAUGAAGGAAUUACCCAUUAGCAGUUUUCCUCACAUCCCAACCAGACAAACCGGCUGCUUCUUUAAGAGCCUCUCUCCAUUUUCCAACAUCUGAUUCAUUCUUGUCCGUAUGUACGGCAAAGGCCUCACCAACUGAUCCGUUUUGUUUUCGGACUUCGGAGGGAUCCACAUCGUAGAACACUGGGAAAGCCGUCUGCUCGUUCUUCUUAUGACACUCCAUGAUCUUGAGAAGCUCGUUUAAGCACCAUGAUGAAGAUGCAUAGUUUUUGGAAAAAACAACAAUGUAGAAUCUGGAGUCCUCAAUGGAUCGUAAGAGCUCAUCAUUUAUCUCUUUUCCUUUCUGGAGUUUCUCAUCGUCCUUGAACGUGCAAAUACCAUGUCGAUCAAGAGCAUCAUAAAGAUGAUCAACAAAGGUCUUGCGGGUGUCUUCACCACUGAAGCUAAGAAACACAUCAUACGCGUAGCUCUUGUUUUGAACGCUUGAACUUGAUGAAGCCAUUGAAGGUAUACUUGUAUACUUGACAAGAUCCUAAAAAUAAAAUACUUUCUUUAAGAAUUAUUCACCAGAUGGUUGCAAAGAAGGUAGGAUGGGAUGUAUGUUUAAGCAGUAGAAUGUGUAGAAAUACAAGGUUGGGCAAGAUGUGAACCACAUACAAGGAACCAUUGUCGACAUUAUAUAUUCACAAUCGUUUACUUUGUUGAAUUAAACUAUCCGCUUUUCUUAACUACAAAUGAAUAUAAAUCAUAAUAUAUGAUUAGUUUACGAAGUUUGAUACUACGA